rnacentral:rRNA from 1 species
AUUGAACGCUGGCGGCAGGCUUAACACAUGCAAGUCGAGCGGGGGAAGGUAGCUUGCUACCGGACCUAGCGGCGGACGGGUGAGUAAUGCUUAGGAAUCUGCCUAUUAGUGGGGGACAACAUCUCGAAAGGGAUGCUAAUACCGCAUACGUCCGACGCGAGAAAGCAGGGGAUCUUCGGACCUUGCGCUAAUAGAUGAGCCUAAGUCGGAUUAGCUAGUUGGUGGGGUAAAGGCCUACCAAGGCGACGAUCUGUAGCGGGUCUGAGAGGAUUCUCCGCCAUGGUGGGACUGAGACACAGCUCAGACUACUACGGGAGGCAGCAGUGGGGAAGAUUGGACAAUGGGGGGAACCCUGCACCAGCCAUGCCGCGUGUGUGAAGAAAGCCUUAUCGUUGUAAAGCACUUUAAGCGAGGAGGAGGCUACUUUAGUUAAUACCUAGGGCUAGUGGACGUUACUCGCAGAAUAAGCACCGGCUAACUCUGUGCCUGCCGCCGCCGUAA